rnacentral:rRNA from 1 species
UGGGGAAUUUUGGACAAUGGGCGAAAGCCUGAUCCAGCAAUGCCGCGUGUGUGAAGAAGGCCUUCGGGUUGUAAAGCACUUUUGUCCGGAAAGAAAUCCUUGGCUCUAAUACAGUCGGGGGAUGACGGUACCGGAAGAAUAAGCACCGGCUAACUACGUGCCAGCAGCCGCGGUAAUACGUAGGGUGCAAGCGUUAAUCGGAAUUACUGGGCGUAAAGCGUGCGCAGGCGGUUUGCUAAGACCGAUGUGAAAUCCCCGGGCUCAACCUGGGAACUGCAUUGGUGACUGGCAGGCUAGAGUAUGGCAGAGGGGGGUAGAAUUCCACGUGUAGCAGUGAAAUGCGUAGAGAUGUGGAGGAAUACCGAUGGCGAAGGCAGCCCCCUGGGCCAAUACUGGCGCUCAUGCACGAAAGCGUGGGGGAGCAAACAGGAUUAGAUACCCCUGGUAGUCCACGCCCUAAACGAUGUCAACUAGUUGUUGGGGAUUCAUUUCCUUAGUAACGUAGCUAACGCGUGAAGUUGACCGCCUGGGGGAGUACGGUCGCAAGAUUAAAACUCAAAUGAAUUGACGGGGUCAUAGCUGUUUCCU